UACGUAGGGUGCGAGCGUUGUCCGGAAUUAUUGGGCGUAAGGACGUCGUAGAGCGGUUUGUCGCGUCGGGAGUGAAAACCCAGGGCUUAACUCUGGGCUUGCUUUCGAUACGGGCAGACUAGAGGUAUGCAGGGGAGAACGGAAUUCCUGGUGUAGCGGUGAAAUGCGCAGAUAUCAGGAGGAACACCGGUGGCGAAGGCGGUUCUCUGGGCAUUACCUGACGCUGAGGAGCGAAAGUGUGGGGAGCGAACAGG
rnacentral:rRNA from 1 species